AUUGAACGCUGGCGGCAUGCUUUACACAUGCAAGUCGAACGGCAGCGCGGGCUUCGGCCUGGCGGCGAGUGGCGAACGGGUGAGUAAUGCAUCGGAACGUGCCCAGUAGUGGGGGAUAGCCCGGCGAAAGCCGGAUUAAUACCGCAUCCGACCUGAGGGUGAAAGCGGGGGACCGAAAGGCCUCGCGCUAUUGGAGCGGCCGAUGUCGGAUUAGCUAGUUGGUGGGGUAAAGGCUUACCAAGGCGACGAUCCGUAGCUGGUCUGAGAGGACGACCCGCCACACUGGGACUGAGACACGGCCCAGACUCCGACGGGAGGCAGCAGUGGGGAAUUUUGGACAAUGGGGGCAACCCUGAUCCAGCCAUGCCGCGUGCGGGAAGAAGGCCUUCGGGUUGUAAACCGCUUUUGUUCGGGAAGAAAUCCUCUGGGCUAAUACCCCGGGGGGAUGACGGUACCGGAAGAAUAAGCACCGGCUAACUACGUG
rnacentral:rRNA from 1 species